UGUGACAUUUUGUGACAGAUGCGCCUGGCCCUAGUGUUCAUUUCACUUCUGGUUUUAGUUCAGGUCCAUAUUACGCAGAAGGUGUUUUCAUAAAACACGGGGAUUUGCACUCUGGGGACUUCCCAGCCUUAAAUUCCUACAAGACUUGCAGUGACUGGUGCAGUUUCUGCUGUUCUCUGUGCGGUGCUCGAUGGGUGGAGGAUCCAAACUAAGCUCAUUGUAAUUAGUCUCAUUUAUCCAUGCCACAUUACAUUGCCAUGUCCUGCAGCAAAUGUGAUCUGUUCCCAUGGACCCACAAGCCCAGAUGUUGCGUGAUUACAUUGGCUUCGGCGGAGUUGCUGCAGAUUUCCUGCAUGGCUGAUGGCAGCAGCAAAUCCACGGUGUGCAGAAAAUUAAAAACUAGAUUAAGCUGUAACAGGAUCGGUGCCAAUCCUUUUGACACUCCUGGUACGGGAUUGCUGCGUGCAUCCUGUGCAGGUCGAUCUGUUUCUGCAGCACCCACAACGUGGUGACAAACCCUAUGUGCAGCUGGGGGGCUGCACCUCUGGCUGGCUGUUUAGUUUUUUAGUAGUUUUCUGCCUAUUUGGUCCUUUGGAGAUCUCCAGCAUCUGUUUGGAGUCCCAAGCUGGGGAAAAAAUAAGGAAACCUUGAAAAAAAUAGGAAGACUUAUAGCUUGUAUAGUCUUUAGCUGAGCGAACAUUCCCUUUGGUAGCUGAUCUUUUAAAUAGGGGAUUUCUUGAGAUUCAGCAGAAUGCUUUUGUAAAAAAUCAAGAUCAUUCUGGGCAGAAAUGAUGUUUAAGCACUGAAUUAGCACGACUCGGUGGCCAGCGGUAGGACCCGAGGGAGCGGGCGUGCAGCCGCCGCAGGGGAGGCUCGGGCUGGGUGGCAGGCACAGAUUUUUCACCCAGAGGGUGGCCCGAGGGGGUGCCCAGGGACAUGGGCAAGCCCUGAGCCUGCCGGACUUGGCGAAGGGCUCCAACCCUUUUGGGGUUGGGAUUUUGGGAAGGCUUUAGCGGGGGGAAACCAAGCGUUUGGCAGCCGGGCGCUGCGCAACCCCCCUAGAAGCGGGCAACCCCCGCAAGCUGCGCAACCCCCCGGCGGUAGCCAAACCCCUGUGAGGUAGCCAAACCCCCCUGGGGUUGAGCAAACCCCCGGGAGCUUUGCAAAAAAAGCCAGAACCGGCUUUUGGAAGAGCUGCCCGGGAGCCCCCCGGCCGGCCCUUCCCGGUGGCGGCGGGGGGGCGGGCGCUGAGCCGCGCCUUGCUGCGCCGCCGCCGGGCGAUGCGCUUCCUCCGCUGAGCUCCGAGCAGCCAGGAUGACGGUGGAGUUCGAGGAGUGCAUCAAGGACUCGCCCCGGUUCCGGCCUUCAUUCCCACCACGUCCCUGGAAGGAUGGCCAAAUGCCCCCCCGUGCCUCCUGUGAUGCCUCUGGAUCCCCGUCAGAGCCCUGGAGCUGAGCAGACCCCGAGAUCGCUGCCCUUGCCAUCAGCCACCCGGGACCUUUUAUAGCAAGCCCGCGCCGCAAACACAAAGCUCGAGUUUCACGCUCUCCUAGCCCCAGCCAACUGUGCUCGUACCUUAGUGGAUUCCAGACCCCAAAAUGCCUUCCUCCUCCACACGGAGGCCAAAUAUAGCCGCUCCUUUUCUUAGGGCCUGAUAAAAAUGGGGAGUAAAUUAUAGAUGCUCUCUCCACCUUCUGGCAGGAAGCAUGCUGCCAGGCUGCCUCGCUGUAUUAGCUUCGAGCUGAUGUCUGCAGAUUAAACAAUGGCUGCUGUUGCUUUCCUGGAAAGAAAAGCAACCCCA